rnacentral:ncRNA from 1 species
UUAACAGGGGGGCUGGAUACUUCCGGCUGAGAUGGAGCCAAUAGAGGCUCCGGACCCGUGAACCUGAUCCGGAUAAUGCCGGCGUAGGAAACAGAGUAUC